AUGCACGCUGGCGGCGUGCCUCACCCCUGCAAGUCGAGCGGCAGCGAGGGGUGCUUGCACCCUGUCGGCGAGCGGCGGACGGCUGAGUAGCGCGUGGGAACGUGCCCCAAAGUGAGGAAUAACUGCCCGAAAGGGUAGCUAAUACCGCAUAUUAUCUUCGGAUCAAAGGAUUUAUCCGCUUUGGGAGCGGCUCGCGUCGGAUUAGGUAGUUGGUGAGGUAAUGGCUCACCAAGCCGACGAUCCGUAGCUGGUCUGAGAGGAUGACCAGCCAGACUGGAACUGAGACACGGUCCAGACUCCUACGGGAGGCAGCAGUGAGGAAUCUUCCACAAUGGGCGAAAGCCUGAUGGAGCAACGCCGCGUGCAGGACGAAGGCCUUCGGGUUGUAAACUGCUUUUAUAAGUGAGGAAUAUGACGGUAACUUAUGAAUAAGGAUCGGCUAACUACGUG
rnacentral:rRNA from 1 species